rnacentral:rRNA from 1 species
AGGACACGCUGGCGGCGUGGAUUAGGCAUGCAAGUCGAACGGUAUCAUCCUUUCGGGGGUGAGAGAGUGGCGAACUGGUGAGUAACACGUAGGUUAUCUACCCUCAAGACGGGGGACAACCCAGGGAAACUUGGGCUAAUACCGGAUGUGAGCAACUUUUAGUUGUUUGAAAGGUGGCGUAAGCUGUCGCUUGGGGAUGAGCCUGCGUCCUAUUAGUUAGUUGGUGAGGUAACGGCUCACCUAGGCAAUGAUAGGUAGGCGGCCUUAACGGGUGGUCGCCCACACUGGGAUUGAGAUACGGCCCAGACUCCUACGGGAGGCAGCAGUCGAGAAUAGUCUACAAUGGUCGGAAGACUGAUAGUGCGACGCCGCGUGAACGAUGAAUCCCUUCGGGGUGUAAAGUUCUUUUAUAUGUGAGCAGUGCUUCUUAUAUUAACAGUAUGGGGAGAGAGAUAUUAGCAUAUGAAUAAGCAACGGCUAACUCCGUG